rnacentral:lncRNA from 1 species
UUAAUUAAACAUGUGCUUUCUCUUCUAAUUUCAGAUAACUGAAUUGUGUUGAGCACAGAAGGAUCUGAAAAAUAAAAAAAAUUCUUCUCUGAGAGAGCUUCAAACUAUGGUAAUCGUUCUGGAAUAAAAUAGCAGAAUCUAGCACUUGACAUAGGAGAGUGAGUAGAAGCCUUCAUCCCUAUUUUUAGGGCUGGCUGCCAUCGUUCUGGGCCACCAGAUAUGUAGAUUAUUGUUCAGCUUUUCCCCCUCCCGUUUUUUGGUCUGGUCUCAUCAGAUACGCAUUCCAAGAAAUUACCUCAAGAUUUGUUUCACCAUUAAAGUGACAUUCUCAGCUGUGCUCCAAUCAACUGGAUAAAAGAGAAUACCUCAGAGGUUGUUUCUGGUUGACUAUCACCUUUCAAAAAAACACAGAGCAUGGUGAAGAAGAAAAGGCUUUCAAUUUGGAGUCAGACGACAUCUGUUCAUUUAAGUGAGUGGUUUAUGUAUACAAACUUUUGAUCUUUUCAUCUUUCCUAAUAUCAA